GAACUAAAAGUAGACCUACCCAGGCCUGUCCCCCUUGGCCUCUCAUAGUGUCCCAUGCCAGAGCAAACUGUGGCCCUGAACCAUUGCCUGGCCUGUGCCCGUAGGCUGCUGGCACUGAAGUGGGUUGCACAGUG
rnacentral:snoRNA from 1 species